AUGUCAAUACAAAACACUGAACGUACAGCUUUGCUCCAAGAAUACAAGUCACCAAAUUAUUGCACAAUAAUACUGAAUUUCACAAACAAAGCUCAAGGAGAUUGUUUUAACCAUAAAGAGAUCGCUACAACUUACAUACUAAACCAAACCUUAAUCCCCUUAAGUGACAAACCUAUGUGGUUUCUCCAUAUAUAUUUAUCUUCUUCAAGAUGUCCAAGAAGGAAGGAAUUUUUAGUGUUUACUUGA